rnacentral:rRNA from 1 species
GUCCACGCCGUAAACGAUGGGUACUAGGCGUCGUGGGGAGCUACCCCUUCGGUGCCGUCGCUAACGCAGUAAGUACCCCGCCUGGGGAGUACGGCCGCAAGGCUGAAACUCAAAGGAAUUGACGGGGCCGCACAAGCGGUGGAGCAUGUGGUUUAAUUCGAGGCAACGCGAAGAACCUUACCUGGGCUUGACAUGCUGGUGAAAGCCGGUGGAAACAUCGGUCCCUCUUCGGAGCACCAGCACAGGUGCUGCAUGGCUGUCGU